rnacentral:rRNA from 1 species
GACGAACGCUGGCGGCGUGCCUAAUACAUGCAAGUCGAGCGGAACUGGGGGAGCUUGCUCCUUCCAGUUUAGCGGCGGACGGGUGAGUAACACGUGGGCAACCUGCCCUGCAGAUCGGGAUAACUCCGGGAAACCGGUGCUAAUACCGAAUAGUUUGGCGCCUCUCCUGAGGCGCUACGGAAAGACGGUUUCGGCUGUCACUGCAGGAUGGGCCCGCGGCGCAUUAGCUAGUUGGUGGGGUAACGGCCCACCCAGGCGACGAUGCGUAGCCGACCUGAGAGGGUGACCGGCCACACUCGGACUGAGACACGGCCCAGACUCCUACGGGAGGCAGCAGUAGGGAAUCUUCCGCAAUGGACGCAAGUCUGGCGGAGCAACGCCGCGUGAGUGACGAAGGUUUUCGGAUCGUAAAACUCUGUUGUGAGGGAAGAACACGUACCAACUAACUAUUGGUACCUUGACGGUACCUCGCCAGAAAGCCACGGCUAACUACGUGCCAGCCGCCGCAGUAA